AUGGGAUUUCGUGAUAUUCACUGCUUCAACUUGGCUUUGCUUGCCAAGAAGGCAUGGCGUCUUAUUGAUAAACCCGACUCUUUGUGUGCUAUAAUCCUAAGGGCUAAGUACUAUCCUGACGGUGAUUUGGUGAACACCAAAUUAAAAAACAGAUCUUCAUUUACAUGGCAAAGUAUCAUGGCCGGGACAGAGUCCCUAAAACGCGACUACAUUUGGCGAGUGGGGGAUGGUCAAAAUAUUAAUAUUUGGGAAGAUGCCUAGAUCCCAAACUGUGCCCCAAGGAAAACGGUAACACCCAAGGGGGGACAUUUGUUAACGAAGGUGGGGGACCUGAUUGACCCUGCUACGAACAAUUGGGAUGAAGAUCUCAUUAGACAAACUAUGUGGCCCAUUGAUGUACAACGAAUUCUUUCAAUUCCAAUCCCACAAUAUGACAUGCCGGAUUUUAUUGCUUGGAGCUAUACGAAAAAUGGUAUGUUCUCAGUUUGGUCUGCCUACUCUAGGGAGUGGGAACAUUAG
rnacentral:rRNA from 1 species